GUGACAAACUGAGUAUAAAUGUAAGUGUAUGUAAACUUCCGUCUUCAACUGUAUUACCCUAGACUGUCCUGAUAAUCUAGUUGAGCAUUCCAGAUAAUUCCUCCAUCCCAGCAGAAAUGUCCCAUCAACAUAGUAUUAACACAGUAUAUUUGACCAUUACUACAGUCAAGUCUGUGGGUUAUGGUACUUUAAUAUCGAUGUUACCAUUUUAGUAAUCAACUUCAAAUCAAAUCAAAUUUUAUUUGUCACAUACACAUGGUUAGCAGAUGUUAAUGCGAGUGUAGUGAAAUGCUUGUGCUUCUAGUUCCGACAAUGCAGUAAUAACCAACAAGUAAUCUAACUAACUUAGCUAACUACUAAAGUUUUUUUUUAAUCCUUCUUUUGGAUGGGGGGACCGGAAACCCAGUGACAACACUGGAGUCUGUAGCUGCCAUUUUCCUGUUGGAAAGAGAAAUGGCCCUGUAUUUGCCAGAAAAGGUAACUCAUCCACUAUGGCAGAAGAGGAAGAUCCGCACUGAACAAACAAUGAGCCAUGAUUGGGUGUUGAGGGACCACUUGUCACAUUGUCAAAGUCCAACAGGAGUGCAUUCUUCAGACCAUCUGGUGCAUGGACAUCCUGUGCCAGUGUGAUCCGAGCAGGAGCGUUCAGUUGUGGAAACUACAGCACAUCGAGCCUGUGGACGGACAGACAUGAGGCGUGACAUCCUGAACAUCAGGCUCACCCCACGAGAAGCAGUGCAUGAUCAACGCCACCCUCAGCAAGGAGAUCUGCUGGAAGUGAUGUACUCUCUCAUUCUGGGGG